CUCAACUGGCUGGGCCACCAGGCGCUCCUGGGAUCCAGAUUCUUUAAAGAAGAGACAUUUGUUGAUGACUUCGCUGUUCAAGGAACUGUGUAGACAACAGGAAGAUGAAAAAGACACUGUCCCUUCCUGUUCUCCAGAGACUCACAAUAAAGUGUAAGAGGGAUAAGAAGCACCCCGGAGCAUUUAUGGUCCCACUGUCAGCCCAAUUUCACAGAUGGAGAGAAG